rnacentral:rRNA from 1 species
UACGUAGGGGGCAAGCGUUGUCCGGAAUCAUUGGGCGUAAAGAGCGUGUAGGCGGCUUGGUAAGUCCGCUGUGAAAGUCCAGGGCUCAACCCUGGAAAGCCGGUGGAAACUGUCAAGCUUGAGUCCGGAAGAGGCGAGUGGAAUCCUGGUGUAGCGGUGAAAUGCGCAGAUAUCAGGAGGAACACCAAUGGCGAAGGCAGCUCGCUGGGACGGUACUGACGCUGAGACGCGAAAGCGUGGGGAGCAAACAGG